rnacentral:rRNA from 1 species
GACGAACGCUGGCGGCGUACUUAACACAUGCAAGUCGAACGGAAAGGCCCUGCUUUUGUGGGGUGCUCGAGUGGCGAACGGGUGAGUAACACGUGAGUAACCUGCCCUUGACUUUGGGAUAACUUCAGGAAACUGGGGCUAAUACCGGAUAGGAGCUCCUGCUGCAUGGUGGGGGUUGGAAAGUUUCGGCGGUUGGGGAUGGACUCGCGGCUUAUCAGCUUGUUGGUGGGGUAGUGGCUUACCAAGGCUUUGACGGGUAGCCGGCCUGAGAGGGUGACCGGCCACAUUGGGACUGAGAUACGGCCCAGACUCCUACGGGAGGCAGCAGUGGGGGAUAUUGCACAAUGGGCGGAAGCCUGAUGCAGCAACGCCGCGUGCGGGAUGACGGCCUUCGGGUUGUAAACCGCAUUCGCCUGUGACGAAGCGUAAGUGACGGUAAUGGGUAAAGAAGCACCGGCUAACUACGUG